GCUUCUUUCCUCCCGAGUGCUUGCACUCAAUUGGAAAGAGGAGUGGCGGACGGGUGAGUAACACGUGGGUAACCUACCCAUCAGAGGGGGAUAACACUUGGAAACAGGUGCUAAUACCGCAUAACAGUUUAUGCCGCAUGGCAUAAGAGUGAAAGGCGCUUUCGGGUGUCGCUGAUGGAUGGACCCGCGGUGCAUUAGCUAGUUGGUGAGGUAACGGCUCACCAAGGCCACGAUGCAUAGCCGACCUGAGAGGGUGAUCGGCCAUACUGGGACUGAGACACGGCCCAGACUCCUACGGGAGGCAGCAGUAGGGAAUCUUCGGCAAUGGACGAAAGUCUGACCGAGCAACGCCGCGUGAGUGAAGAAGGUUUUCGGAUCGUAAAACUCUGUUGUUAGAGAAGAACAAGGACGUUAGUAACUGAACGUCCCCUGACGGUAUCUAACCAGAAAGCCACGGCUAACUACGUGCCAGCAGCCGGCGG
rnacentral:rRNA from 1 species